AAGGAAGCACUUAAGUUAGCGGAGAACUUCUAUUUGANAGGGUCGCAGAGUAGGCGCUACGAGGCGAAAAUGACCUUCUCACCCUUGUGUACUCACUAUGUUGCUUUGGCGGGUCGACCUGGUUCCGACCCAGGCGGCCGGCGCCCCCAGCCUUAACUGGCCAGGACGCCCGGCUAAGUGCCCGCCAGUAUACAAAACUCAAGAAUUCAUUUUGUGAAGUCCUGAUAUAUCAUUUAAUUGAUUAAAACUUUCAACAACGGAUCUCUUGGUUCUGGCAUCGAUGAAGAACGCAGCGAAAUGCGAUAAGUAAUGUGAAUUGCAGAAUUCAGUGAAUCAUCGAAUCUUUGAACGCACAUGGCGCCCUCUGGUAUUCCGGAGGGCAUGCCUGUUCGAGCGUCAUUUCAACCCUCAAGCUCUGCUGGGUAUUGGGCAACGUCCGCUGCCGGAGGUGCCUUGAAGACCUCGGCGACGGCGUCCUACCCUCGAGCGUAGUANUAAAAUAUCUCGCUUUGAAGUGCUGGGCAACGGCCGCCGAACAAUCGACCUUCGGUCUAUUUUCCAAGGUUGACUCGGAUCAGGUAGGGAUACCGCUGAACUUAGCAUUCAUUAGCGAGAAUAAAAAUUAGCGGAGGGGCUUAUCAUGAGGCGGGGAGGGGGAUCCUUGAGCGAUGGGAGA
rnacentral:rRNA from 1 species